AGUGAACGCUGGCGGUAGGCCUAACGCAUGCAAGUCGAACGGCAGCACAGUAAGAGCUUGCUCUUACGGGUGGCGAGUGGCGGACGGGUGAGGAAUACAUCGGAAUCUACUUUUUCGUGGGGGAUAACGUAGGGAAACUUACGCUAAUACCGCAUACGACCUACGGGUGAAAGCAGGGGAUCUUCGGACCUUGCGCGAUUGAAUGAGCCGAUGUCGGAUUAGCUAGUUGGCGGGGUAAAGGCCCACCAAGGCGACGAUCCGUAGCUGGUCUGAGAGGAUGAUCAGCCACACUGGAACUGAGACACGGUCCAGACUCCUACGGGAGGCAGCAGUGGGGAAUAUUGGACAAUGGGCGCAAGCCUGAUCCAGCCAUACCGCGUGGAUGAAGAAGGCCUUCGGGUUGUAAAGCCCUUUUGUUGGGAAGGAAAAGCAGCAGGUUAAUACCCCGCUGUUCUGACGGUACCCGAAGAAUAAGCACCGGCUAACUUCGUG
rnacentral:rRNA from 1 species